GAUGAACGCUGACAGAAUGCUUAACACAUGCAAGUCUACUUGAACUUCGGUUUGGGUGGCGGACGGGUGAGUAACGCGUACAGAACUUGCCUCACAGAUAGGGACAACAUUUGGAAACGAAUGCUAAUACCUGAUAUUAUGAUUUUAGGGCAUCCUAGAAUUAUGAAAGCUAUAUGCACUGUGAGAGAGCUUUGCGUCCCAUUAGCUAGUUGGAGAGGUAACGGCUCACCAAGGCGAUGAUGGGUAGCCGGCCUGAGAGGGUGAUCGGCCACAAGGGGACUGAGACACGGCCCUUACUCCUACGGGAGGCAGCAGUGGGGAAUAUUGGACAAUGGACCAAGAGUCUGAUCCAGCAAUUCUGUGUGCACGAUGAAGUUUUUCGGAAUGUAAAGUGCUUUCAGUUGGGAAGAAAAAAAUGACGGUACCAACAGAAGAAGUGACGGCUAAAUACGU
rnacentral:rRNA from 1 species